rnacentral:lncRNA from 1 species
CCAGCGUCAGGUGCGGCCACAGCACGGCGGAGCAAAACAAAAGUGCACGCAUUCCUCGGUUCAUGGAGAAUCACCCAAGGGACCCAGCGUUUCACUCAUCUUUCCACCCUUAGUGCCGGGAAGAAAAUGAACCCUCAGAAUAACAUCUGCUAAGGAAAGACCAGACCACACGCUCAUCUUUCUAGAGCCAGGAGGAAGGAGCCUCUGACAUGGCCCCUGAACAAAAGCAGCCGGGCCACACCUAACAGGCAGGGUGGGAGGGGGAGGCAUGGGGAGCAGCCGGGAGGGAUGAGAGGCGGGAGACAUGGGCUGGUGUCCUCUGCCCUCCAGCAUCUUCCUGCACAGCCCUCUGGGCUGGCUUCCACCUCCCAGGCUGCGGUGAGCCAUUCAAAUAUUUAUCCUUGUGUCAUCUUCUGAAAGGGGAGAGAAGAGAAAGAGGGAGGGAGGAGGAAAAAACCCGAGUUUCUCAUUUGAAAGUUAAUUAGUCUAAUUAGGUCUAAUUAAGAGCCCCCAACACAAUGCAGUGCACAAAUGAAGUGCCGGCUCCUCAUUUCCUUUGGUUCUCAUUUUAGACUGAGCUGGGAAAGCCUGGGAAGGAGGGGGUGCCUGGGGAGGCCGCAGGAGGGCACAGCGGGGUCCCAUCCCUCUGGGGGACAGGUGGCGGGGGCCCCUGGGCAGAGCUGGCAGGUGCACAUCCCGAUUCCUCCAUGCCAGCCAUCCCGGGAGGUGACGGGAUGAACUUUUAAAUCCCAUUCUCAGUGCUCUCCUGUUUUCUGGCUCCGGAGCCCCCUGGAGAAAUUCUGGCUUCGCCGGCCGGGGUCCCUGGCUCCUUUCGCAG